UGCAUAACCAACGGAUUGAGCGUUUCUGGAGAGACCUUUUCCAAGGAUGUACCUUUCUUUUCUACUUUCUGUUCCGGAUCUUAGAAGAGUGUUUUCUCCUUGAUGUAACAAAUGGCAAAGAUUUAUUUGCUUACAGUAUGUGUACCUGCCUAGAAUAAACCACGCUAUUAAACAAUUUUGUGACGGCUACAAAAAUCAUCGACUUCGGACUGCUAGAAACAGUACACCUAUUCAGCUAUGGAUAACAGGAAUGCUGCAGGGGGCAGAACUUCGAAAUAUGGAAGACCUGGACAUUGGUGCAAUUGACGGUUAUGGCAUUGAUGGCCAUGGACCCAUUCCAUUGAAUGGUCUAGAUGAUUCUGAUGUUGUUCAAGUACCACAGAUAGAAGACGCCCUCUCUCCUUUGCAAUUGCAGGAUCUGGUCAUGCUGAUAGACCCAAUGGCUGAUUCUGACUGUCAGGGAGUAGAUAUUUAUGUUAGAGCCCGUGAAUUUGUCUAUGCUGCAAAUGCAUGAAUAUAUAGGUCAUGUGUAACAUGGAGUUGUCAGUCAGUGGAUGGUCUGGUCAUUUAAUUUUCUACAUUUCAAUUUUUAUGUUUUCAUUUUUUAAUUUUUAUUUAUUUUUAUUUAAUUUUCUAAUGUUUUUAAUUUUUAAUUUUUUUAUUCUCCUUUUAUUAUUUAUAGAAUGGUUUUUAUCUGAUGACGUUUGAUUCUUGUGAUCUUUAGAUUUAUUUUUAAAGUUUGAUUUCUAGGCACUUAUGUGCUCAAAACUAGAAACUUGAACGCGCAGUUCGCUUAUGCUGUUUCUAGAAAUGAAAUGACUGAAGACACUAGACACAACGGGGGUUCCAGCGGGGCUUCCAUUCAAACGCGUGUCUCAGGAGAUCACAUUUCCAACACCCAAGCAGGUGUUUGUUUUUACUUUACUUUUCGUCACGUGCCAAACCACGCUGGCAGCUCUUGGCCGCGGACAACUUCGCUCACUCGUCGGACACGGAACUAAAACUAAUCGUGUUUCUAUCCAAGGUGCUGGUGCCUCCUUGUCACGCAGCUUGACUGCAGAUGUGAACGUACGCCCCGACAAUGACAGCCCAGGGAUCGCAGAGUGACACGGUAGAACUCGAUCUACAAACAUUGUUUAGCGCUAUUGACUCUCGUAGCUAUACGUAGCAUUGACAUAGUAGUCUACUUAGUGACUAGUUGUAGCUGACUAGCUAUGACCAUGUUCUUUCAGUUGUAGCCGCACACUGUUCUACGUUAGCUACUAGUAGUUGAGUUAGUUAAUUGAGUUGAGUUGAGCAAAUAGAGUUCAGUUGAGUUGACUUCA